rfam:Ornithorhynchus anatinus chromosome 1, whole genome shotgun sequence.
UCCCUCUCAGGGUCGCAUCUGGAGAGUUUCCAGUUCUCUACUACUCUCGACUAUGAGAGGGAGAGUCAAGCAGAGGGAUUUCCAUUCCUAGCUUGGGCAGUGGCUAGCAAGUGGAAGGCAAUCUGCUACAAGU